GUGUAGCCCUGGCUGUCCUGGAACUCACUCUGUAGACCAGGCUGGCCUCGAACUCAGAAAUCCACCUGCCUCUGCCUCCCAAGUGCUGGGAUUAAAGGCAUGCGCCACCACUGCCCG
ensembl:miRNA Gm23681 predicted gene, 23681